AUGACAAAAGUACAAAAGGAAUUCAUGGAUAUGGAAGAUGGGUAUAUUGGAGCCACAAAGGUUGACGGCCCGAUCAAUAUAGGGGCUGGUCACCUCAGAGAAAUAUUGUCAGUAGUUAUAAAAGGACAACAACUUCUAUAUGGUACAACACUUGUAUAUUUUGUGAGCAUUGAUUUAUCAGGUAACUCCUUGACAGGUGAAAUCCCUACAGACAUCACUUCCCUUGCUGCACUGAUGAAUCUGAAUUUAUCAUCGAACAAAUUGAGUGGACAAAUUCUAAACAUGAUUGGGGCCAUGCAGUCAUUGGUAUCUCUUGACCUCUCUGGGAACAAGCUCUCUGGUGGAAUCCCAUUAAGCUUGUCAAGUCUAACAUCUUUGGAAGCCUUGAACCUAUCCUACAACAAUUUAUCUGGAAGGAUACCCUCUGGCCGCCAACUUGACACCCUCAAUUCGGACAACCCAUAUAUUAUGUACUUCGGCAACAGUGGACUUUGUGGGCCUCCUCUCCAUAGCAAUUGUUCAGCAAAUGGUACUUCUAUCCAUGGUGAUCUCGGAAGCAGCAAGCAAGAGUUUGAUCCACUGACCUUUCAUUUUGGUCUUGUGCUGGGACUUGUGGCGGGGCUCUGGAUAGUGUUUUGUGCACUGUUGUUCAAGAGGACAUGGAGAAUUGCUUUCUUCCGGUUCUUUGACGAGGCGUACGAUCAAGUCUAUGUACUUGUGGUUGUGAAGUGGGCAAGGUUUGCAAAGAACACAACUGCAGAAUAA
rnacentral:rRNA from 1 species